rnacentral:rRNA from 1 species
AAGCAAGACUACCCGCUGAACUUAAGCAUAUCAAUAAGCGGAGGAAAAGAAACCAACCGGGAUUGCCUCAGUAACGGCGAGUGAAGCGGCAAAAGCUCAAAUUUGAAAUCUGCGUAAGCCGAGUUGUAAUUUGAAGAUGGCUACUUUGGUAAUGGCUCUUGUCUAUGUUCCUUGGAACAGGACGUCACAGAGGGUGAGAAUCCCGUACGUGGUCGCUAGCCUUUACCGUGUAAAGCCCCUUCGACGAGUCGAGUUGUUUGGGAAUGCAGCUCUAAAUGGGAGGUAAAUUUCUUCUAAAGCUAAAUAUUGGCCAGAGACCGAUAGCGCACAAGUAGAGUGAUCGAAAGAUGAAAAGCACUUUGAAAAGAGAGUUAAAAAGCACGUGAAAUUGUUGAAAGGGAAGCGCUUGCAAUCAGACUUG